GGGUAGCCGGCCUGAGAGGGCGACCGGCCACACUGGGACUGAGACACGGCCCAGACUCCUACGGGAGGCAGCAGUGGGGAAUAUUGCACAAUGGGCGAAAGCCUGAUGCAGCGACGCCGCGUGAGGGAUGACGGCCUUCGGGUUGUAAACCUCUUUCAGCAGGGAAGAAGCGCAAGUGACGGUACCUGCAGAAGAAGCGCCGGCUAACUACGUGCCAGCAGCCGCGGUAAUACGUAGGGCGCAAGCGUUGUCCGGAAUUAUUGGGCGUAAAGAGCUCGUAGGCGGUUUGUCGCGUCUGGUGUGAAAACCCGAGGCUCAACCUCGGGCUGGCACUGGGUACGGGCAGACUAGAGUGCGGUAGGGGAGACUGGAAUUCCUGGUGUAGCGGUGGAAUGCGCAGAUAUCAGGAGGAACACCGAUGGCGAAGGCAGGUCUCUGGGCCGCAACUGACGCUGAGGAGCGAAAGCAUGGGGAGCGAACAGGAUUAGAUACCCUGGUAGUCCAUGCCGUAAACGUUGGGCACUAGGUGUGGGGCUCUUUCCACGAGUUCCGUGCCGCAGCUAACGCAUUAAGUGCCCCGCCUGGGGAGUACGGCCGCAAGGCUAAAACUCAAAGGAAUUGACGGGGGCCCGCACAAGCGGCGGAGCAUGCGGAUUAAUUCGAUGCAACGCGAAGAACCUUACCAAGGCUUGACAUGCGCCGGAAACUGCCAGAGAUGGUGGCCCCGUAAGGUCGGUGCACAGGUGGUGCAUGGUUUGUCGUCAGCUCGUGUCGUGAGAUGUUGCGGUUAAGUCCCGCAACGAGCGCAACCCCUCGUCCCAUGUUGCCAGCGGGUUAUGCCGGGGACUCAUGGGAGACUGCCGGGGUCAACUCGGAGGAAGGUGGGGAUGACGUCAAAUUCAUCAUGCCCCUUAUGUCUUGGGCUUCACGCAUGCUACAAUGGCCGGUACAGAGGGCUGCGAUACCGUAAGGUGGAGCGAAUCCCAAAAAGCCGG
rnacentral:rRNA from 1 species